GACGAACGCUGGCGGCGUGCUUAACACAUGCAAGUCGAACGGAAAGGCCCUGCUUUUGUGGGGUGCUCGAGUUGCGAACGGGUGAGUAACACGUGAGUAACCUGCCCUUGACUUUGGGAUAACUUCAGGAAACUGGGGCUAAUACCGGAUAGGAGCUCCUGCGGCAUGGUGGGGGUUGGAAAGUUUCGGCGGUUGGGGAUGGACUCGCGGCUUAUCAGCUUGUUGGUGGGGUAGUGGCUUACCAAGGCUUUGACGGGUAGCCGGCCUGAGAGGGUGACCGGCCACAUUGGGACUGAGAUACGGCCCAGACUCCUACGGUAGGCAGCAGUGGGGAAUAUUGCACAAUGGGCGGAAGCCUGAUGCAGCAACGCCGCGUGCGGGAUGACGGCCUUCGGGUUGUAAACCGCUUUCGCCUGUGACGAAGCGUGAGUGACGGUAAUGGGUAAAGAAGCACCGGCUAACUACGUG
rnacentral:rRNA from 1 species